rnacentral:lncRNA from 1 species
AUGGGGCAAAAUUUUCACAUCAAAAUGCAUCAAGUCCCAAAUUUGGGUCCCGAGAGCAGAGUUCUCCACAGUGUCACAGGGUGGUGCUGGCAUCUCCACAGACUCCUGCAGAGCACUGUCCGAGUCAGCCCCUCCCUGCAGCCCUGCAUUCAGGCUUCCCUCCGACAUCUCUUCAGCUCUACACCAAGCCAGGGAAGUGGCAAGGAUGACUAUGAACAUACUGACAGCUAGCAGUACCAUUCCCACAGUAAACAUUGUGGGGCGCACAUGGGACCGUGCAAUGAGAACUUCCUACUGGAAUAAUUAAGGUGACAUUUGAAAUAUAGAUUUAUAUCAAUUUUUAUUCACAAAG